rnacentral:rRNA from 1 species
CAGCAGCCGCGGGAAUACGGAGGGUGCAAGCGUUACUCGGAAUCACUGGGCGUAAAGGACGCGUAGGCGGAUUAUCAAGUCUCUUGUGAAAUCUAACGGCUUAACCGUUAAACUGCUUGGGAAACUGAUAAUCUAGAGUAAGGGAGAGGCAGAUGGAAUUCUUGGUGUAGGGGUAAAAUCCGUAGAUAUCAAGAAGAAUACCUAUUGCGAAGGCGAUCUGCUGGAACUUAACUGACGCUAAUGCGUGAAAGCGUGGGGAGCAAACAGGAUUAGAUACCCCCGUAGUCCCUGUCUCUUAUAC